rnacentral:lncRNA from 1 species
GGAAGAUGCAGAGAGGACCAUCUGGGAUGGGAGAACAGGUCUGACUCUGGGAAGAGACUGAUGACCCAAAAGUUUCCCAGUGCCUGCUCCCCCCGGUGAAACAAAUUCUAGUGAGCAAUCCUUGGGCCUUGAAAAUGCUUCUGCUUCCUCUUCUGGAAGGACUGGUAUCCGUGGCAAGGCAAGUAGACAUCCCAGCCAUGCUUUGGUGGCCACUUCACUGGGCCAUGAGCCAGCUAAUUCUUCAAUGGCCAGGACUUUGGACAUCUACCGUGAUGUACACAUGCUUCUCCAGCUUUGUGCUUCUUCAAAACAUAUCGCCUCACUCUCCCAGGACAGGUCAGCCUACCCCACUGGACCGGAGUCUGCAGGAGAGGAAGAUAGCAUCUGCUUGCCGUGGAGUCUCCAAGACUGGCACUGUGCCUGGCCUUCGGAUUCCUAUAAAACAAAGAACCAAACAGCAGGAUGCCCGGGUCUCCUGAGCCCAGCCCUGCUUUCCUGGGGUUUGAAAUGUUCUUCAUCUGCACAGUGAAGGAAAAUGGUGCUGUCCUCAAGUGGGA